rnacentral:tRNA from 1 species
GGCCGACUGGCCUAAUGGUUAAGGCGUCAGUUUCCGGUUAAGGCUACAGCUGAAGAUUCUGGGUUCGAAUCCCAGGUUGGUCG